rnacentral:rRNA from 3 species
UUAAGUUAUUAAGGGCGCACGGUGGAUGCCUUGGCACUAGAAGCCGAUGAAGGACGUUACUAACGACGAUAUGCUUUGGGGAGCUGUAAGUAAGCUUUGAUCCAGAGAUUUCCGAAUGGGGAAACCCAGCAUGAGUUAUGUCAUGUUAUCGAUAUGUGAAUACAUAGCAUAUCAGAAGGCACACCCGGAGAACUGAAACAUCUUAGUACCCGGAGGAAGAAAAAGAAAAUUCGAUUCCCUUAGUAGCGGCGAGCGAAACGGGAAGAGCCCAAACCAACAAGCUUGCUUGUUGGGGUUGUAGGACACUCUAUACGGAGUUACAAAGGACGACAUUAGACGAAUCAUCUGGAAAGAUGAAUCAAAGAAGGUAAUAAUCCUGUAGUCGAAAAUGUUGUCUCUCUUGAGUGGAUCCUGAGUACGACGGAGCACGUGAAAUUCCGUCGGAAUCUGGGAGGACCAUCUCCUAAGGCUAAAUACUCUCUAGUGACCGAUAGUGAACCAGUACCGUGAGGGAAAGGUGAAAAGCACCCCGGAAGGGGAGUGAAAUAGAACCUGAAACCGUGUGCUUACAAGUAGUCAGAGCCCGUUAAUGGGUGAUGGCGUGCCUUUUGUAGAAUGAACCGGCGAGUUACGAUUUGAUGCAAGGUUAAGCAGUAAAUGUGGAGCCGUAGCGAAAGCGAGUCUGAAUAGGGCGUUUAGUAUUUGGUCGUAGACCCGAAACCAGGUGAUCUACCCUUGGUCAGGUUGAAGUUCAGGUAACACUGAAUGGAGGACCGAACCGACUUACGUUGAAAAGUGAGCGGAUGAACUGAGGGUAGCGGAGAAAUUCCAAUCGAACCUGGAGAUAGCUGGUUCUCUCCGAAAUAGCUUUAGGGCUAGCCUCAAGUGAUGAUUAUUGGAGGUAGAGCACUGUUUGGACGAGGGGCCCCUCUCGGGUUACCGAAUUCAGACAAACUCCGAAUGCCAAUUAAUUUAACUUGGGAGUCAGAACAUGGGUGAUAAGGUCCGUGUUCGAAAGGGAAACAGCCCAGACCACCAGCUAAGGUCCCAAAAUAUAUGUUAAGUGGAAAAGGAUGUGGCGUUGCCCAGACAACUAGGAUGUUGGCUUAGAAGCAGCCAUCAUUUAAAGAGUGCGUAAUAGCUCACUAGUCGAGUGACACUGCGCCGAAAAUGUACCGGGGCUAAACAUAUUACCGAAGCUGUGGAUUGUCCUUUGGACAAUGGUAGGAGAGCGUUCUAAGGGCGUUGAAGCAUGAUCGUAAGGACAUGUGGAGCGCUUAGAAGUGAGAAUGCCGGUGUGAGUAGCGAAAGACGGGUGAGAAUCCCGUCCACCGAUUGACUAAGGUUUCCAGAGGAAGGCUCGUCCGCUCUGGGUUAGUCGGGUCCUAAGCUGAGGCCGACAGGCGUAGGCGAUGGAUAACAGGUUGAUAUUCCUGUACCACCUAUAAUCGUUUUAAUCGAUGGGGGGACGCAGUAGGAUAGGCGAAGCGUGCGAUUGGAUUGCACGUCUAAGCAGUAAGGCUGAGUAUUAGGCAAAUCCGGUACUCGUUAAGGCUGAGCUGUGAUGGGGAGAAGACAUUGAGUCUUCGAGUCGUUGAUUUCACACUGCCGAGAAAAGCCUCUAGAUAGAAAAUAGGUGCCCGUACCGCAAACCGACACAGGUAGUCAAGAUGAGAAUUCUAAGGUGAGCGAGCGAACUCUCGUUAAGGAACUCGGCAAAAUGACCCCGUAACUUCGGGAGAAGGGGUGCUCUUUAGGGUUAACGCCCAGAAGAGCCGCAGUGAAUAGGCCCAAGCGACUGUUUAUCAAAAACACAGGUCUCUGCUAAACCGUAAGGUGAUGUAUAGGGGCUGACGCCUGCCCGGUGCUGGAAGGUUAAGAGGAGUGGUUAGCUUCUGCGAAGCUACGAAUCGAAGCCCCAGUAAACGGCGGCCGUAACUAUAACGGUCCUAAGGUAGCGAAAUUCCUUGUCGGGUAAGUUCCGACCCGCACGAAAGGCGUAACGAUUUGGGCACUGUCUCAACGAGAGACUCGGUGAAAUCAUAGUACCUGUGAAGAUGCAGGUUACCCGCGACAGGACGGAAAGACCCCGUGGAGCUUUACUGUAGCCUGAUAUUGAAAUUCGGCACAGCUUGUACAGGAUAGGUAGGAGCCUUUGAAACGUGAGCGCUAGCUUACGUGGAGGCGCUGGUGGGAUACUACCCUAGCUGUGUUGGCUUUCUAACCCGCACCACUUAUCGUGGUGGGAGACAGUGUCAGGCGGGCAGUUUGACUGGGGCGGUCGCCUCCUAAAAGGUAACGGAGGCGCUCAAAGGUUCCCUCAGAAUGGUUGGAAAUCAUUCAUAGAGUGUAAAGGCAUAAGGGAGCUUGACUGCGAGACCUACAAGUCGAGCAGGGUCGAAAGACGGACUUAGUGAUCCGGUGGUUCCGCAUGGAAGGGCCAUCGCUCAACGGAUAAAAGCUACCCCGGGGAUAACAGGCUUAUCUCCCCCAAGAGUUCACAUCGACGGGGAGGUUUGGCACCUCGAUGUCGGCUCAUCGCAUCCUGGGGCUGUAGUCGGUCCCAAGGGUUGGGCUGUUCGCCCAUUAAAGCGGUACGCGAGCUGGGUUCAGAACGUCGUGAGACAGUUCGGUCCCUAUCCGUCGUGGGCGUAGGAAAUUUGAGAGGAGCUGUCCUUAGUACGAGAGGACCGGGAUGGACAUACCUCUGGUGUACCAGUUGUCGUGCCAACGGCAUAGCUGGGUAGCUAUGUGUGGACGGGAUAAGUGCUGAAAGCAUCUAAGCAUGAAGCCCCCCUCAAGAUGAGAUUUCCCAACUUCGGUUAUAAGAUCCCUCAAAGAUGAUGAGGUUAAUAGGUUCGAGGUGGAAGCAUGGUGACAUGUGGAGCUGACGAAUACUAAUCGAUCGAAGACUUAAUCAA